rnacentral:rRNA from 1 species
GAACGCCUAGGGAGGCAGCAGUGGGGAAUAUUGCACAAUGGGCGAAAGCCUGAUGCAGCAACGCCGCGUGAAGGAAGACGGUUUUCGGAUUGUAAACUUCUGUUCUUAGUGAAGAAUAAUGACGGUAACUAAGGAGCAAGCCACGGCUAACUACGUGCCAGCAGCCGCGGUAAUACGUAGGGGGCGAGCGUUAUCCGGAUUCAUUGGGCGUAAAGCGCGCGUAGGCGGCCGCCUAAGCGGAACCUCUAACCCCGGGGCUCAACCUCGGGCCGGGUUCCGGGCUGGGCGGCUCGAGUGCGGUAGAG